rnacentral:lncRNA from 1 species
GAGGGUCUUUGGUUUAGUAACUUAAUCAACGGUGUAUAUGUGGAACAUACAAUUAAGGGUUCAAAGUAAGUUUGUUUUGGCCAAACAAGGGCGUGGGAAUAAAAAUGUGGGUUAGGGCGCCGAAGAUAAAAGAAAUUCAACUUUGAAUGCUUUUGUUGUUUUGUUUUUGCAAAUGAGAUUGCCCAAUUGGUGGGCAACUUGAUUUUGCUGCAAUUUGACUAAUAUGGCGG